rnacentral:misc_RNA from 1 species
UGUCCCGACUUUCCGACGAGUGAGUGCUCUCUACUUGAGGGAAAUCGAAAUAGCAGCAGCACAGCUGAAAUCAGAAAUUAAAAGCUAAAACGCUUCUAGCUGGUAGCUGUCCGUUCUGUCGAUCUUUCAGCCCCUAUCGAUCGGAAACAUUCAUUUUUCAUACAGCAGAGACAAAAAAAUUCAGCGAACUUGUUGCCUGUUGGAUGCAGCAGCAAAAAUUUCUAUCUGUCUGCGCGAAAUAUUCAAAUACAUCUGAAAAUUCUCAGUAAAAAUCUCGGAAAAAUCGUACUUCGACCACGACAGCUCGGAGAAAAUUGUCUAUUCGGAAAAAAGUCUAAGUGGAGAGUGUCGCGCGAGGUGAAUCGCGAAAAUCGCGGUUUUACUCAAAAUUCUGAACGAUUACAAGGUGCGCCCAAGGUGUGUGAUUAAGAUCAAAGAAACGGAAGUGUGGAUCGCAACCACCAGACCGGUGUGCAGAUAAACAUCACAAUUUCAAGUCGCUGUCAACGGGCAGAAACAAACAAAUAUUUCCAAGUGUUGAGUGGAAAUCCGGGGAGUUUUCCAUUUUGGCCACGGUGCUUGUGAACAGAACAACGUGACUGAUCGGAAUAAUUGCCAAAAACUUGUUAACCCGUCAAAAAUCGACUCUUGAUUGUCUUAUCAGAUCCCAGCGUCUUAUCAUCGACUGAAACCAAUUUUGAACAAUUAGCAACUUAACGGUAAAGUUCAAAAAUGGCAGAAAUGGAAAUGGAGGAAACUUUCGAAACCGAGGUUCGACGCAAAGUCGUACGGACUAGUUACAAAAUUCAGGAAACUUCGUCUACCACGAAAACAACUACUAUGACAACACCUGCCAAAUUAUAUGGCAAGGAUUUAAGUGAAUAUGACGAGAUUGACGUUGAUGCUCUAUUAGCUCAAUUAUCACCAGAGGAAAUAAAUAUAUUAGCAAAAGAAGUAGAUCCUGAUGACCAAUUUCUACCUCCUGAUCAACGGCACUCCUAUCAAUGUGAUAAACAGCCUACAGGACCGUUGAAUCGAAAGAAAUUAAUUGAACAUAUAAACAAACAAGCAAUAGAGGAGCCGGAUCAACCUGAAUUCGAGCCGUACGUCAAGGGUACAAUCAGAGGCAAAAAAUGGGUACCGCCACCAAAAGAGGAGAAGGAGAAGGAAGUCGAAGAACAAAUCGCAAUCGAUUUGGGCGAGGAAUAUGAACAAGCCUUGACUGAUGCUUCGCAGGAAGAAAUUAUUGAUUUAGCUGCUAUUCUUGGUUUCCACUCAAUGAUGAAUCAAGAUCAGUAUCAUGCCUCCUUGUUGAACAAAGGCCAACCCGUCGGGCUUGGCUGGGACGGAAUCACAAAAUCAUCAACACAAAAAAUAUACCCUGUUGACCCCCCGAACAACACAGACGUUGAAGCUUCAAUUAAGAGAAUUAAGGAAGAUGACGCCAAGUUAAUUGAAUUGAACUUGAAUAAUAUUAAGAAUAUUGCGGAUAAACAAUUUGAACAAUUAUUUGAAUCACUGCCCGGAAAUGAACAUUUGGAAGUUCUAUCACUCACAAAUGUUGGCCUAACAGAUAAAAUGGCUCUCUUGUUGGCAGAAGCAAUCGAAAAAAGCAAAACAUUGAGAGUAUUAAACGUUGAAACAAAUUUCAUUAGUCCACCUCUAAUUGUUCGAUUGGUGAAAGCAUUAUUGAAAGCUCGAACAAUUGAGGAAUUCAGAGCGUCGAAUCAGAGAUCACAAGUACUCGGUAACAAGAUCGAAAUGGAAAUCACGGAACUUGUGGAAAAGAAUACAUCACUUCUUCGACUAGGCCUCCAUUUGGAAUUCAACGAUGCUCGCCAUCGAAUUGCAGCCCACCUACAGCGUAAUAUCGACAGGAUACGCCUUUCCCGCCUCAACCAGCGUAAAUAAAGUGUAUGUGAACAUCUCUCUUCUCAGAAUAAAUACAAAAAUAUACAAAAGAGAAAUGAGCAUAAUAUAAAAUCUAGACAAAUAAUUCCAAAAUUUUAUAGAAAAAACGAAAGACAGCGGACGACAACGUCGAAUGGGACACUUUACAAGGAAUUACACGAUUGGUCUUUGGCAAUAAACCUGCCGAAAUGGAACUGCAUAAUAUUCACUACAUUAGCUUCAGCUCAACGAAUGUUGAUGAUAAUUCUUGAAAGUUUCCAUUUUUGUUUUUUUAUUGCUUUUAUUACGAUGAUUGUGUUGCAAAAUUUUGAAAAUAUUCACGUGACCAGGUGUUUUCCAGUAGAGUGUUACUGAGCAACGUCUCAUUGCAUACUUAGUUUUAGAUAAAUAUUGUCCGCAUAAAUGCGAAAGUUCAUAAAUAGAUAUGUCAUUGGUAUUUUGUCGCUUUCCUUGCUUGUAAUCGCUGCCUAUUUAUUGAAAAAAAGUCAAGAAAACGAAUAAUUGCAUGUUAUGAUAUCAUUUAUUUUAUUCUAAGUAUUGAAGAUUGUUUUAAUUUAAUGACUUUUUAGUUUUAAACUUUAAGAAAUGAUUUCUUUGUGUAUUAUCACAUUUUGACCUUAAAUAUUAAAUUCAAACUACUUCGGGCGAAAAAUUAAUCGAAUCUAAUUAGACUUGAGUUUCUAAAAUCUCUAUUAAAUUUUAAAUGCUGAUAAAUCUUGAUUUGAAAAAACUUCUACUUAUUCUAAAAUAUUAUUAGCAGAUAAGAGUUAACUAGUAAAAACAAAACACAAAACACAUUCACUCACAAGUUUUCAAAAGUAUUUCUAACCAGCACAUGCAUACACACAACAUUAAACAAAAUACACAACAUUAAUCUAGACGUCCAGUGUUUGAUAAUUCUCAGCCUACGAUACUACUCGAGUAAAAAUGAUAAAAAUCGAUUUUGAAACACAUAAACUAACACUACAAGUACGAAUCAUUAAAUUUAACACUUACACGACAAUUCAGUAGGAUUACAAAAAAAAGUAAGCAAGGAUUACACAUACACAUUUGUUUCACGCCCAAGUUGAAAGAAAAACAAAAAAAUAAUCCAAGAUCUAUUCUAACGGAAACAUCUAUUCAUUUUCAACAAAACCAAGGAAAGGCGUAUUUAUAUUGUUAUUAUAAACUUGAGAUUUUUUCUAGGAAUAUGUCGGAAGAGAAAUGAAAAAACAAACCCAAACGACAUAUUUAUAUCUUUUAGUUUCAUACGACAUGUGUAUAACUUUUAGACUCAUUAAGAAUGUAAGUAAACCAACCAAGGGAAAUUUUGGAAAAUUGAUAAAAAAAACCAGAUAUUAUUAUUUUCACAAAAAGCAAACACAAAAACAGAAUGCAUUAUAUUAUUUUAUUGACAUAAAACAUUUUUGAUUUCAUUAGCGGAUAACUUUUUUUUCUUAAUGAAUGAUAACAAUAUUAUAAUGAAAUAAAUGCUAUUGAAGAAAUUUUUAAUUAUUUAUAAAAAAAACUGUACAAUAUAAUUCUAUUUACAUUUAAAGAAAAUGAUGAAGAAGGAAUAUAUAUAGUAAUAUAAAUAAACGGAGAGCGAUGUUGAGUUGAAAUUUGUAAUUUUUCUCGGAAAAUUCAAAAAUGCGAUAUAAUGAAUAUUAAAAAGGAAAUAUUAUGUAAAAGAAAAUAAUAAAAAAAAAAUACAAAACGAAAAAGAACUGAAAA